UACGUAGGUCCCGAGCGUUGUCCGGAUUUAUUGGGCGUAAAGCGAGCGCAGGUGGUUUGGUAAGUCUGGUGUAAAAGGCAAUGGCUCAACCAUUGUAAGCAUUGGAAACUGUUAAACUUGAGUGCAGUAGAGGAGAGUGGAAUUCCAUGUGUAGCGGUGAAAUGCGUAGAUAUAUGGAGGAACACCGGAGGCGAAAGCGGCUCUCUGGACUGUAACUGACACUGAGGCUCGAAAGCGUGGGGAGCAAACA
rnacentral:rRNA from 1 species